GACAGAGGGUGCAAACGUUGUUCGGAAUUACUGGGCGUAAAGCGUGCGCAGGCGGUUCGUUGUGUCGGCGGUGAAAGCCCAGGGCUCAACCUUGGAACUGCCUUGAUACUGGCUAUCUUGAGUACGGGAGAGGUGAGUGGAACUCCGAGUGUAGAGGUGAAAUUCGUAGAUAUUCGGAAGAACACCAGUGGCGAAGGCGACUCACUGGCCCGUUACUGACGCUGAGGCGCGAAGGCGUGGGAGCAA
rnacentral:rRNA from 1 species